GACGAACGCUGGCGGCGUGCCUAAUACAUGCAAGUCGAACGAACCGCGACUAAGUGCUUGCACUAAGUCAUGGUGAGUGGCGAACGGGUGAGUAACACGUGGGUAACCUACCUCAUAGUGGGGGAUAACAGUCGGAAACGACUGCUAAUACCGCAUAGGACAUACGAUCACAUGAUCCAGUGAGGAAAGGUGGCGCAAGCUAUCGCUAAGAGAUGGACCCGCGGUGCAUUAGCUAGUUGGUAGGGUAAAGGCCUACCAAGGCGAUGAUGCAUAGCCGACCUGAGAGGGUGAUCGGCCACAUUGGGACUGAGACACGGCCCAAACUCCUACGGGAGGCAGCAGUAGGGAAUCUUCCGCAAUGGACGAAAGUCUGACGGAGCAACGCCGCGUGAGUGAAGAAGGUCUUCGGAUCGUAAAGCUCUGUUGUUAGAGAAGAACAGCGCAUAGAGUAACUGCGAUGCGUGUGACGGUAUCUAACCAGAAAGCCACGGCUAACUACGUG
rnacentral:rRNA from 1 species